ACUAAACCAGGACUGAACCAGGUCUAAACCAGGUCUAAACCAGGACUGAACCAGGACUAAACCAGGUCUAAACCAGGUCUAAACCAGGACUAAACCAGGUCUAAACCAGGUCUAAACCAGGUCUAAACCAGGACUAAACCAAGUCUAAACCAGGUCUAAACCAGGUCUAAACCAGGACUAAACCAGGUCUAAACCAGGACUAAACCAGGACUAAACCAGGACUAAACCAGGUCUAAACCAGGUCUAAACCAGGACUAAACCUGGACUAAACCAGGACUGAACCAGGACUGAACCAGGACUAAACCAGGAC
ensembl:lncRNA